AUGUAGAUAAAUGUUUAGAGUUUUAAUUUAUAAAGGUAAAAUAUAUAAAAUGAAAUUUAAAAAAAUUAUUGAAGGGUACUGUAAAGGAAGAUUUGAAAGAUUUGAAAAUUUAUAUACAAAUAAGUAUUUAUAUUACCUUUUGCAUAAGGGGGUAUUAAAAAUUAUUUUGGGUAAAAUUUUCUCGAAGUUUAUUGAGCUAAUAUUUUAAUAGGUUUUUUGUAGAAAUAAAAAUUGAAAUAAAAUAUUAGAAAUGAAAUUUUAAACAAAAUAAAAGUUAUCUAGUUAAAAAAAUAAUAUUUUAUAUAAAGCCUUUUAAGUGAGUAUUUAUAAAAAAAUAAAAGGGGGCAAUUUAAUGGGAUAAGCUAUUGGAUAAUUUAUAGUUAAUAAUAAGAAUAAUAAGAGGCUUGAAGUUAGCUUAAUUUGUAAUAAAAAUUUUAACAAUAAUUUUUAUAUUAAAUAAAAAUAUAAUAAUAAAUUAGUUAAGUAUGAAACAAUGAUAUUAUUAGUAUAAAUAGAUUUAUUUUUAUGAAAAAUUCGGCAAAUAAAAUUUUCGUCUGUUUAUCAAAAACAUUGUUUUUAGGUUUUAUUAAAAAUAAGUUCUGCUCAAUGAAAAAUUAAAUUGCCGUGGUAUUUUGACUAUGCGAAGGUAUUGAAAUAAGGCUUUAAAUGGGUGCUAAGAGAAUGGAAAAACGACUAUUGACUGUUUAUAAAAAAUAUUAAAAUUUAAUUUUUAAGUGAAAAAGCUUAAAUAUUUUAGUGGGACAAGAAGACCCUGUGAAUCUUAAAUAUUUUGUAUUAUUAGUAAAAUUUUAAUUCUGUUAUAAUAAAAAAUAUUUUUAUUGGGGCGAUAAUAAAAGAUUGAUAAUCUUUUAUUGGAUCCGAGCUGAUCGAUUAAAGGAAUAAGAUACUCUAGGGAUAACAGCGUUAUUAUUUUGGAUAGUUCAUAUUGGUAAAAUAGUUUGCGACCUCGAUGUUGAAUUAAUGGACCUUAUUAAUGCAGAAGUUAAUAAAGGUAGAUUGCUCAUCUAUUAAAUCGUUACAUGAUUUGAGUUCAGACCGGCGAGAGCCAGGUUAGUUUCUACCUACUUUAUAAUGGUUUAAAUAUAGUACGAAAGGACCUAUUUAAACUAAUUAUUAGAAUAAUAUAGUAUUAUUAAUUUAGUAG
rnacentral:rRNA from 1 species